rnacentral:lncRNA from 1 species
UGUGGGGGGGGAACAGGGAGGGUGAAAACCACCCAGCGGAGCCGCCGGGGCGGGGAGGAAACCUGCGCCAGGAGCCACGUGCUGGAGCCGGCGCUGGGUGGGUGGCUCGGGGAGCGGUGGGGGAGGGAGAGGCCCUUGCUGGGAAAGGCCCCAGGCCACGUUUCUGGGGGAGGAGAAGAACCGCGGGUGGACACCCUGGGCCCCAGGCCACCAGGGAACCUUCACCUCCGUCUGGAUAAUGCAGCCCAGAUCUCUUUGAUGGGAGCAGCUCUGGCCAAGCCCUGCCUGCUUGGGGUUGGACCUGAAGGAAUGCACUGGCCUAACCUAAUUGCCUUUUCGGACCUCGGUGGGACGGCGCUGGGGCUGGGACGGGAGGCUCUCCCACCUCACACCCUUCAAAGGGGAUGUACGUCCAAGGGUCGAAGAAUUGGAGAGCCUAAGUAAACCCAGGGUGGUUGGCUGUCCAGGGAAGGUGGGGGGAGUCGUAGGAAGAAGAAAGGAAGCAUGCAAAAGAAGGAAGAAGCAUUUAAGCACGUGAUAAGGACAUAACUGCAGUCCUUGGAAAGGUGGAUUUCCUACUCCCUGGGAAUUUAAGCCAAAAUCCCCUCAGCAGAGAAAAUGGAUUAGCUGCAGGAAGGAAUGAGACACGUUGAGGAGUCUGGGCUGCUUCCGAGUGGAUGCUCAAGAAGGGCUAGAGACCCUUUAAGAAGCACCCACCUGCAGUGGCCUAAGUGGCACCUAGAAACUUCUGUAAACCCUUACGGUUUUUCCUGCCUAAUCAAUCAGGAAGGGAGAGGAGCCAGGAAGUCAAGGCGGCAAACCUCCACAGCUUUGCCAUGCUGUUCUUUCAAAGCCACAGCUCAACAAGUGAUGCCAGCCCAGGGAGGGGGUGUCGUCUGUGUCUCCUCUUGCAGGCGGAAGCAGCACCACAGCCGGGAGAACAAAACCCGUUUGGAUCUGUCCAGAGCUGUUUGUCAGUACUGCCUUCCAGGACCACGUGAGCUGCCUCUUGCCCCACGUGACCCUCAUUCAAACUCAGGGAGAACGAGAGCUCCCGGGCCCCUUCUCCUCGGACAGCCUAAUCCCACGUGUGCAGAUGGGUGGCUCAUUUCUGCCAGCUCAAAAUAA